CAACAAAAAAAAAAUAGCGAUUGGUCAAACCUCUUUCCCGGUAGUGCGCCUCGCCGCCUCCCGCGCCUGCGCGCACCCGCCGGGCAGCCGGCCGUCGCCGCCGGCUCCGGGCGCGGCUCCGUCGCGGGCCCUACCCUGCCGCCUCCUCGCUCAAAGCCCGCCGGUUCCCCUCAUCCACUUCUUCACAGUCUCAUCCCAAUCGCAACUGCCGGGGCCAACUCCGGCCGCCAUCCUGCUGCGCCUCCUCCCCACCAGGUCGCUCACCGCCGUUGGGCGCCCUUCGCCUCCCCCCGCUGGCCACCUCGCCCACACUCCAAACCGCCAGGCCACCCACCGCCAGCCGGCGGCCCCCUCGCGUCCGCGCCUCUCUGCGCCAGAAAUCAAUCCGCCAGCAUCCGCCGGACAAUGCUACGGGGACAACUGCAGGAUGGCCACCCUACACCGCCACCUGCUCGCGCGUGCCCGCCGGACAGCCGGUGUCCCCGUCGUCGCCUCCUCGCGCGUGCUCGCCGGAGAGCCGUGGUCACCGUCGGCAGCCGCCUUUUCCACCGCUCGCCCUACCCCGCCGCCCACCCCCUCCUCCGCGAUCACUUACGCCGCACACCGCCUCCGAGCAGUCACCCCGCUCGCGCCUCCCCCGCACUCCAAACCGUUGAGCCUUUGUCACCGUCGCCGCCCCUCUUCGAGUUCUUCAGCUUUUGCACCAUGGGAGGCAAGCAGAUGCAGAUGGUGGAGCUCUGCGGCUUCCUCAGCCAUGUCGGCUCCAUAUAUUGAUGUGGUUGGCGUCCUGUGCCCCUCCACUGCCGAGGCAAUCGAGCGUCCAGGCAUCUAUUUGGACUGGCGUUGAAUCAUGACGAAUUCUACAAGGAUGCAAGAAGCUGGCAAGCAACAACGAGCAUGACCGUACCAUACAUGAAUGUGCAUAAAUCCAAGAUGGGUGAGCAAGCAUGUUUUCUUACAAAUUAAAUUAAGGAUUUCUACUUUGAUGAGGGCAGCUGGGUAGGUGUACUUACAACAACAAUGAUGAAGGAAGUGCAAUUCUGAAUUGGUAGUGCAAACCAGAUCUACGGCAAGGGCUACAUCGACGACAUGAACAUUUUUAUCUCCAACUACCAGUACAACCUCGACCUCAUGGGUGUCGUCCGCGAGCACUCUGGUGACAACCGCGAUUGCGCCGAGCAGGUCGCCUUCAACCCGUCCCACAAGAAGCCCGACGACCAGCAGCAACAAAGCUACAACAUCACCCAAUUCUCCAAUUCACGCUCGCAGACUACCCAAUGCCCAUCUCUAUUUUAUUGCCACUGAUUAUCUUGGCUAAGUACUCGAGUUACAUCUCAAUGAACUAUGUCAAUUGUGCGCCUUAAUGUGAUUCAAUGCACUCAUCUCCUCUCUCGCCCUACUUCAAUGGACAUCACAUGAAGCUCUACAUCGUAAUCGGCUGCAUGGCCAGAGAACAACAGCGAGGCUUCCAGAUAUGGUUGACUUACUUUUAGCUGCUUGGUAAAGCAACCAGAGCAAAGCAACUUCACGAGCCCAAAGAAUGCAUCAUCGACAAACUAUUGUGAUAGCUAGGUGCCUUACCAAAGAAUUCAGCCUCGACAACCUAUUGUGAUAGCUAGGCGCCUCACCAAAGAGGAUUGCAAACUGCAACGAUCGAGCUUGCUAAGAUAUGGAUGAUGUUGUUCCUAUGAGUUGCUUGAUUCAGCAAAUGAAGCAAAAAUCAACAUUAUUAAUGGUAAAAUUCAGGAUAGGACCACAUACUUAUUGUUGACGUUGCUCUCAACUCCUGAUGGACAGAAGAGAGAUGUUAGUGAUGACUACUCCUCGCUGCUCAAGAAGGCCGAUAGAUGUUGGUAACUUCUACAAGGACUAGGCUCCAUAUGUAAAUAUUUGCACAUGCACAUACAGGUUAAUUGCUUCUAUUUGUUAUGUACAAGACUGCUAACUGGCCUUUAUGGUUAAUGCGUACUCCACAUGUUUGAUUGUUUCUGGCCUUCAUGAAUAUUGUAUAUACUACUUGAUACAUUGAUAUCCACCUAUUACUUUAUGUUGGGAUUGAUAUCCACCUCUUCCUUUAA